UUUCCAUUUAUUAGUCAAUGGCAGCUCCUAAGAAAGGUUUGGCCAGUUACAGACAAUAAAAAAGCUACUUUUGGUUUGCACAAUUGAGUUGUAGUGUGAGUAAAGAAUAUGUUGACUACAUUAAUUAGCUGUAGUAACAAUAAGAAUGAUAUCUCGGCUGGGCACGGUGUCUCACACCUGUAAUCCCAGCACUUUGGGAGGCCAAGGCGGGUGGAUCACGAGGUCAGGAGAUCGAGACCAUCUUGGCCAACAUGGUGAAACCUCGUUGCUACUAAAAAUAAAAAAUUGGUUGGGCAUGGUGGUGCGUGCCUUUAAUCCCAGCUACUUGGGAGGCUGAGUCAGGAGAAUCACUUGAACCAGGGAGAGGGAGGUUGCAGUGAGCCGAGAUCGCACCAUUGCACUCCAGCUUGGUGGCAGAGAUGGUGUUUCAUCAUGUUCUCCAGACUGGUUGCAAACUCCUCAGCUGAAACAAUCUUCCCACCUUUCAAAGUGUUGUGAUUACAGGUGUGAGCCCUGUGCCCAGCCCGAAAAUUUCAAUGUGACUCUUAAAAUCAUCUAGUCAAAAUGGAAUUAUGACUGGAAGUGCACUAAGAAGAUUCCUUUGGAAAGAAUGAACAUGUUUUCAAUAUUUUUACAUCUCGAAAACAUUGAAUCUCACGCACCCAGAAAAAUGUCUUAAUUUAUUCAAAACUUUUCUUUUGAACUAAUGUAAAAUUUCAUAGUUUUACUGAAGUCUUGAAUAUUCCUGAGAUAGUUAUUCUUCAAUAGUUUGUGAGUUUUAUUUCUUUGUGAAUAGAAGUGUUUCCCCUGGUAUAUUUGAAUUGGUUAUUCUGGCACAUUGAAAGCUAAUACUCUUUGUGUAUUUAUUUUGAAUGAACUGACUUUUAGAAUUUUUAUUCAUUUUAAUGAUUUUUAGGUUGAUUUUCUUGCAUUCUGUACAUUACAAAAUGUCAUUAUGUUGAGUGGUUGGAAAGCUUAUGAGAAAUAUUACACUGAUCUAUUAACGAGGGGAAAGAUAUAUUAUACUAGGAAACAUUUAGAACAAGAUGCUAGUAUAUAAACUCUAAGCGUGACUUCUAUACAGCAGUUGUUCUUAGGUUUGACAUACAUUGGAAUCACCUGGGGAGCUUUAGAAAACAGUGAUGUCUGGCCCCUUCCCUCAGACACGCUAAUUUCUGGGCAUCAGGACAUUAAAACUCCUUCCUCCAUCCCUCCAUCUUUCCCUCCUUUCCCUUCCUUCCCUCCCUCCCUCCC